rnacentral:rRNA from 1 species
AUUAGGCAUGCAAGUCGAGCGGGAUCCUGUUCCUUCAAUUCUUCGGAAAAGAAGGCGCGGGUGAGAGCGGCGAACGGGUGAGUAAUGUAUGGGUAAUUUGCCUUGAAGCCCGGGAUAGCUACUCGAAAGGGUAGGUAAUACCGGAUGUGCUCGGGUGUCGCAUGACACCUUAUGUGAAGCGGGGAUCUUCGGACCUGCCACUUCAAGAUAAGCCCAUAUCCUAUCAGCUAGUUGGUAAGGUAAUGGCUUACCAAGGCUUACGGGUAGCUGGUCUGAGAGGACGACCAGCCACACUGGGACUGAGAUACUGCCCAGACUCCUACGGGAGGCUGCAGUCGAGAAUAUUUGUCAAUGUACGAAAGUAUGAACAUGCGACGCCGCGUGGAGGACGAAGGCCUUCGGGUUGUAAACUCCUGUCAUGAGGGAGUAAGUGUAUGCCGGUUAAUACCCUGCAUACUUGACAGUACCUCAAGAGGAAGUCACGGCUAACUCUGUG